rnacentral:snRNA from 1 species
AUACUUCCCUGGUGCCGGGACCUCGUUGAUCACCAAGGACGCGCCUCCAGGGCGAGGAAUAGUCAUUGCACUGCGCUUGCGUUGACCCCUGCCACAAUCACAAACUGGGGCAUGCAAAUUGC